UACGUAGGGUGCAAGCGUUAAUCGGAAUUACUGGGCGUAAAGCGUGCGCAGGCGGUUAUGUAAGACAUAUGUGAAAUGCCCGGGCUUAACCUGGGAACUGCAUUUGUGACUGCAUGGCUAGAGUGUGUCAGAGGGGGGUAGAAUUCCACGUGUAGCAGUGAAAUGCGUAGAUAUGUGGAGGAAUACCGAUGGCGAAGGCAGCCCCCUGGGAUAACACUGACGCUCAUGCACGAAAGCGUGGGGAGCAAACAGG
rnacentral:rRNA from 1 species